CCUACGGGCGGCAGCAGUGAGGAAUAUUGGUCAAUGGGCGGAAGCCUGAACCAGCCAAGUAGCGUGCGGGAUGAAGGCCCUACGGGUCGUAAACCGCUUUUGCACGGGGAUAACACCCUCCACUUGUGGAGGUCUGCAGGUACCGUGCGAAUAAGGGCCGGCUAAUUCCGUGCCAGCAGCCGCGGUAAUACGAAGGGGCCGAGCGUUAUCCGGAUUCAUUGGGCUUAAAGGGAGCGUAGGCGGGCGUUCAAGUCAGCGAGAAAAUCGCGCGGCUCAACCGCGCCCCGCAGUUGAAACUGGGCGUCUUGAGUUCACAACAGGCAGGCGGAAUUCGUGGUGUAGCGGUGAAAUGCAUAGAUAUCACGAGGAACCCCGAUUGCGAAGGCAGCCUGCCGGGGUGCGACUGACGCUGAGGCUCGAAGGUGCGGGUAUCAAACAGGAUUAGAUACCCUUGUAGUC
rnacentral:rRNA from 1 species